rnacentral:rRNA from 1 species
AUUGAACACUGGCGGCAGGCCUAACACAUGCAAGUCGAGCGGCAGCGGGAAAGUAGCUUGCUACUUUUGCCGGCGAGCGGCGGACGGGUGAGUAAUGCCUGGGAAAUUGCCCAGUCGAGGGGGAUAACAGUUGGAAACGACUGCUAAUACCGCAUACGCCCUACGGGGGAAAGCAGGGGACCUUCGGGCCUUGCGCGAUUGGAUAUGCCCAGGUGGGAUUAGCUAGUUGGUGAGGUAAUGGCUCACCAAGGCGACGAUCCCUAGCUGGUCUGAGAUGAUGAUCAGCCACACUGGAACUGAGACACGGUCCAGACUCCUACGGGAGGCAGCAGUGGGGAAUAUUGCACAAUGGGGGAAACCCUGAUGCAGCCAUGCCGCGUGUGUGAAGAAGGCCUUCGGGUUGUAAAGCACUUUCAGCGAGGAGGAAAGGUUGAUGCCUAAUACGUAUCAACUGUGACGUUACUCGCAGAAGAAGCACCGGCUAACUCCGUGCCAGCAGCCGCAGUAA